UACGUAGGGUGCGAGCGUUGUCCGGAAUUACUGGGCGUAAAGAGCUUGUAGGUGGUUUGUCGCGUUGUUCGUGAAAUCUCACGGCUUAACUGUGAGCGUGCGGGCGAUACGGGCAGACUAGAGUACUGCAGAGGAGACUGGAAUUCCUGGUGUAGCGGUGGAAUGCGCAGAUAUCAGGAGGAACACCGGUGGCGAAGGCGGGUCUCUGGGCAGUAACUGACGCUGAGAAGCGAAAGCGUGGGGAGCGAACAGG
rnacentral:rRNA from 1 species